UACGUAGGAGGCGAGCGUUGUCCGGAGUUACUGGGCGUAAAGGGUGCGCAGGCGGCGGUUCGCGUGGCGAGAUGAAAUCUCCUGGCUUACCUGGGAGGAUGGUCGCCAGACGGGAUCGCUUGAGGGUCGGAGAGGGGCGUGGAAUUCCGGGUGGAGCGGUGAAAUGCGCAGAUAUCAGGAGGAACACCGGGGGCGAAGGCGGCUCGCUGGGCAUGGUCCGACGCUGAGGCGCGAAAGCGUGGGGAGCGAACAGG
rnacentral:rRNA from 1 species